rnacentral:tRNA from 1 species
GCUGGUUUGGCUCAGUGGAUAGAGUGUCAGCCUUUGGACUGAAGGGUUCCAGGUUUGAUUCCUGGACAGGGCA